rnacentral:rRNA from 1 species
GGCUCCACCUGGGGAACUGCAUCUGAAACUGGCAAGCUAGAGUCUCGUAGAGGGGGGGUAGACUUCCAGUGUAGCGGGUGAAAUGCGUAGAGAUCUGGAGGAAUACCGGUGGCGAAGGCGGCCCCCUGGACGAAGACUGACGCUCAGGUGCGAAAGCGUGGGGAGCAAACAGGAUUAGAUACCCCUGGUAGUGCACGCUGUAAACGAUGUCGAUUUGGAGGUUGUGCCCUUGAGGCGUGGCUUCCGGAGCUAACGCGUUAAAUCGACCGCCUGGGGAGUACGGCCGCAAGGUUAAAACUCAAAUGAAUUGACGGGGGCCCGCACAAGCGGUGGAGCAUGUGGUUUAAUUCGAUGCAACGCGAAGAACCUUACCUACUCUUGACAUCCAGAGAACUUUCCAGAGAUGGAUUGGUGCCUUCGGGAACUCUGAGACAGGUGCUGCAUGGCUGUCGUCAGCUCGUGUUGUGAAAUGUUGGGUUAAGUCCCGCAACGAGCGCAACCCUUAUCCUUUGUUGCCAGCGGUUCGGCCGGGAACUCAAAGGAGACUGCCAGUGAUAAACUGGAGGAAGGUGGGGAUGACGUCAAGUCAUCAUGGCCCUUACGAGUAGGGCUACACACGUGCUACAAUGGCGUAUACAAAGAGAAGCGACCUCGCGAGAGCAAGCGGACCUCAUAAAGUAUGUCGUAGUCCGGAUUGGAGUCUGCAACUCGACUCCAUGAAGUCGGAAUCGCUAGUAAUCGUAGAUCAGAAUGCUACGGUGAAUACGUUAGCGCGGGCCUUGUAAACUCCGCCCAGUCUACCACCCCCCCUCG